GGUAUAAACGAUGCCCCCCAUAGGGGGCUUCACAGCGAUUGGAGCUUCUCCACCGUCCGAUCUUCCCAUCAGGCACAUCUCGACCGUUCGUUUCGAGCCAGCAGGGGCGUGUGGACACUUUCCCAUUGGUUCCCUUGCUAGACGAAGCCAUGAAACGGCGCUAUUUUACCCGUCCUGUGGCUGCAUCUGGGUCCCACGUUCGGUUGGGUCCACUCAUCAUUCGCUGGGUUGUGUUUGGAGUUGGUCACGCGUCGGUUUGGCCCGUGAGAAAGAUUUUCUCCCGUCGGGUAGUUUGGGGUUUUCCUCGAUGUCCCACACUCCCACCCAAUCCCCUCCCCCGUGGUCUCCCCAAUCCGCUUGCGAUGCCCGCCUCCUCCUGUUCAUCCUCCUCCAAUCCCCUUGCGCCGCCGGCACCAGUUCGUCGCGUCGCCAUCGCCGGACGGAAGCACAAGUCGUCCCUCGCAUCGCAGACAAGCCUUGUCUGGUCGCCAUGGCAGGGAGAGGAAGCGCAGGCCACCGCUCGCCCCACCACCUCAUGUCGUCGCCAUUGCCGGGAGGAGUCACAGGCUGCUGCUGUUUGGCGGUUCCUCUCUGUCUCUCCUCGUGCGCUCUGAGAUCCCGUCCAUGGCAUGGUCGUCCUCCGGCCUUGAGCGGGACAGAAGAUUUAUGGAGGCGGCCGUCGGUCCUGCUGAUGGUGAAGAAGAAAAAGGGGCGGGACGCCACUGAGACGGACAGGUAGAGGUUGAUGUGCAGCGAGGCUACCUCGUCGCCAUUGAGACAGAUUAAAGGUACAUUCUAAUCCCCCACCCCCGCACAUGAAGUUGGUCUUCCACACAUCACCAAGGAGCCAGGCAUCCCGUCACGCUGCGGUCGUCGCCGUCAGGUUCUCCGGCCCCGACGCCGUUGGGAGGGCUCCUCAGGGCCAGCGAAGUAGGGGAGGUCGCUCUGCUAGGAGGGGCUUAACCGUGUGGAGCACAUCAACCUCCUCGGAGCAUACAGGUGGGUUCUCUCCAUUAUGCACACAACGUGUUUGAUGAAAAUACAAGCAGACCACGGGUGAAGUUAAUUCGUUUUUUUCUUGAAUUUAGCUUCAGUAACGAUGGCUCCCAUCUAUAUAACUUUUUGAUAUAUGACUUUCACGUGCAAGCUACCAUUAAUGAUAUGUAUGAGUAGAUUUGUAGGAAAAAAAUAUGUGAUUGACUGUUUGAGACACCCAUCAAAUAAUAUAUCUCUAAUUGGAAGCCCAUGUACAGCUUUCUCAGCUGUUUGAGAAGUACUAGAUAAUUUCAGUGUCUUUUUUCCGAUCAAGAGCAGGGUUGUUAUGUUGAUCAAGAGCGGUUGCAGGCGCAUAUCUAUCGGUUAGUUCAUAUCAAAUCCCAUGGAAACCAUGUUUGGCUGUUGCUUUGGCAUGUGAUAUGCACUUAUGAUUAUUGUUGGGUUUCCUAACUUUGAUAUCGACCAAUGACACACCAAUGACACAUGUCGUUUAGAAUACUAAAUAUAUUACUGGAAUUUGUAAUCAAAUAAUAUUUGCUGGUGUGAGUAGACCACCAUUUAUUUAUUUCCCAUGCCCAUUAUUUUUGCAGUAUGUUCUUUUUUGUUUUUUGAAAAUGCAUUGCAGGUUAUCUAAAUAUAUUGAUCCUAAGGUGCUAUGUGUUCUGCAUUUUGCAUUGUGUCAGUUUUUUGGUAUUUAGCAAAAGGUUGUCUGGGUUUGGGUAGGAGCAUCAACCGGUCACUAACAGUUCACUCAUGUAAAAUAAGCUUUUUACCAAUGUGCUUUCCAAAUCUGCAUCACCAAGAGCUCUCCGCCAUGUUGAUUUUAUUUCAGUUUCCCUUCCGAUAUAUGUGAUAUGUGUGUGUUUUCUCGCCUCACAACAUCUUCCAAUAUAUCACAGAGAGUUUCAAUUGGUAUCGGUGACAUGUUAAUCUUCUGUAGGAUCUGUAGCUUCAAUUGGUGUGCAAGAAGCUAUUGUAGGAUUUGUAGCAUUAGAAUAUUGUAACUACAUCACGGAUACAGAUGUCGAAUAUUUAUCAGGUAGAAGCACAACUAUUUGUUUCCUGAUAUUAUCUUCUUUGGUAUAUCAUACAGCCUGCUUCAGACUUAUACACAUUCUCUGAAUAGGAUGGAAUUUUGAAGAGCAGAAGUAUGGUGGCUCAUAAUAGCAGCCUAAGAUAUCAAGGGUAGAUAUGUAUAGAUACUGCAAGCCAACUAUUUUAUAAGUCUGGGCAUGCCAAAUAUUGGCUGAUUUUCGGUAAAAUAUGUUUUCUUAAUUUAAUCAGCAAUUAAUGAAAUAAGGUAUUCGUACAACUCUCUCUUUUUUGCCGUACCAUAGGCUUGCAACUGCUUCUUGUGUUAGCUUAACAGACAAGCAGCUCUGCAGAUCAAACUGUCCUUCUUUGUGAGCUUACACAAGUAAUAGGUUCAGAUCUUUUUUAUGAACCUACAACUUUCCUCUAGCCAACUAUACACUCCCGAUUAUUGUAUGUGGUGCCGUUCUCAACUGUAUGCUGGUACUGUUCUUUGGUGCUAGCACUUUCAAUUAUUUUGCUCAAGACAUUCGUGUGUGUGCUAGCUUGCGAUGACAGGUCGGUUUUUUGGGUUUCUAGGGAAAAAUAAAGAGAGUGCAGGCCAUGGUAUCGUUCAGUUCGACCAUUCAAAAUCACCACCUGAUUUGAGCUUUUUCAGUAAUAAUUCAUCUCGUGCUACUUUCCCAACAAUGCAUAGUCCUUACCGUGUUUAUUUUUCCUGCAGCCCCAAGCACUUGCCUAUUUCAUGUAUAUAUUGAUAUCUUUCCAGUUCGUGCGCUUUCAGGUUUUAACCAUGGUAUACAUUCACCAAAAUAGCUUUUAAAUUUCUAUCUUGUGUGUACUACGUAGCUUCGAGUACAGUUUCUUGCUAGAUUUUGUAUGGUAUGCGAGCUAAAUCCAUUAUCCAAACUAUUUUUUAUGUUUGUCUACAUAACCAAGAGAUAUUUACAUCUUAACUUGUAGGAGAUCAGAUGUUUUCUGAUUUGCGUUUAAGACGAGCUUAAACUGAUUGGUAUCUUCACCACGUAGCUUUCUCAGAAUGCGAGGAUUCAAUGUGUUGAAGGCAAAAUGGAUAUUCUUGAAUAUGCUGAAAUGGUGUCAGGAUUGUGUUGUUGUGCCAUUGCAAAGAUGGUUGAAGGAUUAGGUGGAGCCAACAAGUGCAGCAAUAAAAAUUGUGAGCAAUUAGUCGGAAGGUUGUAGGACAAGGUCCAUUCCUUUGGUUGAGAACAUUUUGCUUCCGAAACAAAGUAGUGCUGAAAUCAAUGCUCGAGUAAAUCUUGAGAUGAAUGCAGUUAGUGUGCUCAUUACAUAGAUCUCUCGAAAGCAUAUCACAAGGUUUCUCCGCUCCCACCUGGGAAUGAGAAAUCUCCGGGGGCGUAUUUCUUCUUUGUUCUGAUAUAUCCAGUCAUUCGGGAUCGAUAGGGCAUAAAAGCACCUAUUACUUCGAAUUAUACAAAUGCUUGAGUAGGUCCACUAAUUUUGUUAUAGGAUCUAAACUACACUAUUCCAUCCUCUGUUCUCUAUGAUUUAAUUCAGGUAAAUGGCCAUUAUAAUCUUUCCCUCUUUCACUGCCACUUCCUUCAUUUUGGAGAGUGGCUAUAGAUAAUCACCAUGCUAACUCUCUGAAUGUAGUGCAUAAAAUAUUUAGCUCAAAUUCAGUUUUGUUUUAGUCUAACCUGAAAUUAAGUAGCUUACGUUUGUUAAUCUACCAACCCAGUAUAUAUCAAAGCAAGGCAAGUUGACUAUCCGUACAUGGUUUAGGUUUUGCAGUAUCUACAUGUGAUCUAAGCAUUGUUUUAUUUGUGUAAUGUUGUUUGGCUGCUUAAUCAGGCUUUGUUAUUUCUGCAUCACAUGUGCGUCAUGAACUUCAACGACAUCACGCACCAUUUUCUGCUUUCUAUUUACGCUGCCCUUGAUCUGAAGAAAAGAAAAAAAGGCGCAGUCCAUGCAACUGCUAUGGACAUUUAGAUGGUGUCUCCUGAAUCUGCUGAAUUAUGUAUUGGGAGCGAUGGGGCAGGUCUAUUCGACAACGUGCUAUGUGUGUUUCUUCAGCCAGGAUUAAGGUGCUCCCAGAGUGGCUCAAUUCUUCUUCACGUGUCGCGGAAGGCUUCAUUGCGCCUUGCCGAAAGGUUGUCCUCUAGAUUGCUGGCCGUAUUGGUACCAGGGACUCCACUCUAUUCAUUGGCUACCAAAAAAACAAUUACAGUACCCCUGUUGAGUAUCAUUGUCAAUAGAUUGUUGUCGAGGUCGAGUGUGUGCCCUCAAGCACAUGUAUCAAGAAUAACUAGGGUACUUUUUAUCCUUCGAGCAUAGUUGGUAUAAGUCAUCCACAACCUAAUGGAAGUUGUCGAGAUGGAAGCUGUCAAGAUCCUGCCCAGUGUCAUGUUGGAAGCUAUGUUGCAGAAGCUGCACCUUUUAGCGGUGCAACUACUUAUUAGAAUUAGUUUUUUUUGUGCGCAGUGGCCUUUAAAGACUGAAUUGAGGCAGGCUUAUUUAGAUGUUACUUUUGUUACUUUUAGCAUAAAAGUGUUAAUUUAUUUCGCUCUUUCCUUGAUUGUGCAUAAGCAUUGUUGUUCUAUUCUGAUUUUGUGUGUUCAA